UACAGAGGGGGCAAGCGUUGUUCGGAAUUACUGGGCGUAAAGGGCGCGUAGGCGGCCUUCUAAGUCGAACGUGAAAUCCCCGGGCUCAACCCGGGAACUGCGUCCGAGACUGAAAGGCUCGAAUCCGGGAGAGGGAUGUGGAAUUCCAGGUGUAGCGGUGAAAUGCGUAGAUAUCAGGAGGAACACCGAUGGCGAAGGCAGGCUCCUGGGCCAGCACUGACGCUCAUGCACGAAAGCGUGGGGAGCAAACAGG
rnacentral:rRNA from 1 species